UACGGGGGGGGCAAGCGUUGUUCGGAAUUACUGGGCGUAAAGGGCGCGUAGGCGGUUCGCUAAGUUGGAUGUGAAAACUCUGGGCUCAACCCAGAGCCUGCAUCCAAAACUGGCGGGCUAGAGUUCUGGAGGGGGUAGCGGAAUUCCUGGCGUAGCGGUGAAAUGCGUAGAUAUCAGGAGGAACACCGGUGGCGAAGGCGGCUACCUGGACAGAAACUGACGCUGAGGCGCGAAAGCUAGGGGAGCAAACAGG
rnacentral:rRNA from 1 species